rnacentral:lncRNA from 1 species
AUGAUUGGAUUGUUUCUGAGAUGUGCUGGAGAGCCGCUUUGGCUAAUUGCUUGCAGACUGCGAUCCAACCAGGCUUGCCAACCGUGGAGGCAGUAUGGAGGGGCUAAGAGAUGCUCAAGUCCACUAGGAGUUUCGUACAGUUCUGGCCAUGAGAUGGAAGUCCCAGGGAAGAUCACAAAAUACAGCACUUGA